UCUUAUUCUUACCAACUGCCACUGGGCUUCCCCUGAUGUCUCACUCUGAUACUGUUCUCAUGCGGGCUGUUAUUAUCCAUCUUGUUUCUUAUGGCUCUGUUGCAAGUGCUUUAUGAAUAUGAAUCAUGUAACUUCACUACACCAGUCAUUCCCAUUUUGCAGACGAAGAAAUGGAGUCUCAGAGAGCCUAAGUUUCCUGUCUAAGAUCAUGUAACUUCUAAGACAGGGAACUCAGCACACUCCAAAACAGUUCCCGCUAACUCUGAUCACGAGGAAGAUUUUCAUUAUGUGGACUCAGAAUCUGUGUCAUGUUCCUGCAUUCCAGCCCUGUGUUGAGCAGACUCCAAUUUGCUUAUGAAGUUUGUGGCUAUGACACCUGAUCUCAACCUCUUGCUCCAGUUGCAGCCUGAGCAGAGCAGAGUAAAUCAUGACUUCAUCAGCCUCAUUUCAGAUGUGAUGGCUGGAAUUCAAGCAGCUAACUUGACAUGAGGUGGCAUGCAAAGAGUGACAGAGUGCAAAGUAG
ensembl:lncRNA